rnacentral:rRNA from 1 species
GUCAUAUGCUUGUCUCAAAGAUUAAGCCAUGCAUGUCUCAGUACAAGCCAAAUUAAGGUGAAACCGCGAAAGGCUCAUUAAAUCAGUUAUGGUUCCUUAGAUCGUACCCACAAUUACUUGGAUAACUGUGGUAAUUCUAGAGCUAAUACAUGCAAACAGAGCUCCGACCGGAGACGGAAGGAGUGCUUUUAUUAGAUCAAAACCAAUCGGUGGCGGGUUCGCGCUCGUCAUCGUACAACUUGGUGACUCUGAAUAACUUUACGCUGAUCGCACGGUCAUCGCACCGGCGACGCAUCUUUCAAAUGUCUGCCUUAUCAACUGUCGAUGGUAGGUUCUGCGCCUACCAUGGUUGUAACGGGUAACGGGGAAUCAGGGUUCGAUUCCGGAGAGGGAGCCUGAGAAACGGCUACCACAUCCAAGGAAGGCAGCAGGCGCGCAAAUUACCCACUCCCGGCACGGGGAGGUAGUGACGAAAAAUAACGAUACGGGACUCAUCCGAGGCCCCGUAAUCGGAAUGAGUACACUCUAAACCCUUUAACGAGGAUCAAUUGGAGGGCAAGUCUGGUGCCAGCAGCC